AGGCAGUCCAGUCGGUGCUGCAUUCGACCGCGUCGAUCCGGGCGAUUGCCUCGGUCGUCAAUGUCGAGGCGACGACCUAUGACGUGCUGAUCGAUCAUACCGAUGUGGGCGCGGGAUGGGCCACCGAAGCCGGGCCGGCCGCCGAAACGGACACGCCGCAGAUCGACCGGAUUUCGAUCCCGCUGCACGAGCUGAGCGCCCUGCCGAAGGCCAGCCAGCGGCUGCUGGAUGACAGUGCGUUCGAUAUCGAGGGUUGGCUGGCAGGCCGGAUCGCCGACAAGUUCGCCCGCGCCGAGGCGGCGGCCUUUGUCAACGGUGACGGUGUCGACAAGCCGACCGGUCUGCUGACCCACACGGCGGUCGAUAACGACGUCUGGACCUGGGGCAAUAUCGGCUACGUGCCCACCGGUGUCGCGGGCGGCGUCGAUGCCGAUGCGAUCGUGGACGUGGUCUAUGCGCUGGGCGCGCAGUACCGCGUGAACGGCACCUUCGUGAUGAAUUCGAAAACCGCGGGCGUGAUCCGCAAGCUCAAGGACAGCGACGGCCGCUUCCUGUGGUCGGACGGCCUGGCCGCAGGCGAGCCCGCGCGCCUGAUGGGCUAUCCGGUGCUGAUCGCCGAGGACAUGCCCGAUCCGGGCACCGACAGCUACUCGAUCGCCUUCGGUGACUUCUCGGCCGGCUACACCAUCGCCGAGCGCCCCGACCUGCGCGUGCUGCGCGAUCCGUUCAGCGCAAAACCGCAUGUGCUGUUC
rnacentral:rRNA from 1 species